CACAAGUGUAGGCUACGGUCUACUUACACCUCUCCUUGUUAUGGUUCAUGAUGUGCAGAAAAACCUUUAGGCCGAACUUAAAAUAUGUAAGGAGGCAGCUUUAGGCUAAACUUGAUUUAGCACCCUCAAGAUACCCGAGUCUCUUGCAGAUUUGAGUCAGGAUGGCUUCAGCCUAAGGAAGAGCUUGCUGGGCUCCUGCCAAUAUAAAUUACCCUCAGCAAGACGACACCAGGGAGAAAUGCUCCCACCAGGCACAGAAAUGGUUCCGGGGGCUAGAGAUUGAGAUGGUCCCCAGCCACUGUGCAGUUCUAAGCACUUCAGGGCCCACAGAACAAAGGGGCUAAUAGGGGGCCCAGGUGACCAUGAGAGAAUGGAGUUGCUGCUGCCCGAGGGAAGAGAGGACUGUCUCCCAUGCCCAGAGGCCCCGUGGGAGUGGUCCUAGCAUGCCUGUCCAGGAUAAAAGCCAAUAGAGGCCCACACAAGCCCCAGGCAGGAGGGACCCCCAAGGGAGCAGCCGCUGAGGAUGGAGAGUCCGAGAGCUGCGGGGCUGAUGGGGAGCCCAGGGGAAGCG
rnacentral:lncRNA from 10 species